rnacentral:rRNA from 1 species
CCCUUAGAUGUUCUGGGCUGCACGCGCGCUACACUGAAGCGUUCAACGAGUAUUCACCUUGCCCGGGAGGGUUGGGUAAUCUUUUGAAAACGCUUCGUGAUGGGGAUAGAUUAUUGCAAUUAUUAAUCUUCAACGAGGAAUUCCUAGUAAACGCAAAUCAUCAAUUUGCAUUGAUUACGUCCCUGCACUUUGUACACACCGCCCGUCGCACCUACCGAUUGAAUGGUCCGGUGAGGACUCGGGAUUUUUACCAGUUUCCUUCAUUGGGAAUUGGUGAGGAGAACUUGUCCAAACCUUAUCAUUUAGAGGAAGGUGAAGUCGUAACA